CAAGACUGAAACUCAAAGGAAUUGACGGGGACCCGCACAAGCAGUGGAGUAUGUGGUUUAAUUCGAAGCAACGCGAAGAACCUUACCAGGUCUUGACAUCCAACUAACGAAGCAGAGAUGCGUUAGGUGCCCUUCGGGGAAAGUUGAGACAGGUGGUGCAUGGUUGUCGUCAGCUCGUGUCGUGAGAUGUUGGGUUAAGUCCCGCAACGAGCGCAACCCUUGACUUUAGUUG
rnacentral:rRNA from 1 species